AGUUAUCCUCCAGGAUGUGGUUAGGCCUCAUCACAAAGGCCUUAAGAAGGAAAAAAACCAGAGGUCCCCUAAAGAGGAAUACAUUCUGCCUUCAGACCGACUUUGGACUUCAGCAGCAACACCAGCUCUUCCCUGGUCUCCAGCCUGUCUGCCUGCUGCGCAGACUUCAGCCUGGCCAGCCCUCAUAAUCAUGCAUGGAAGAUGUGCCUGCUUCCCCUUUAUCUUCUGCCGUGAUUGAAAGUUUCCCGAGGCCUCCAAGUGCCAUGCUUCCUGUACAGCCUGCAAAACCGUCCUCAGCCUUAUUCCGGACCAUCAGUGCCCUUCUUCUUCCACCUGCCGCUCCAGGAGACUGGCCCCAUCAAAGUGGGUCAGUGCAGGCUCUCAUUUCAUCUGCACCCUACUGAUAAAACAGGUGGCACCAAGUGCUGAGCAGGUGCUAAGCAGGCUGUGGCUUAAGUUAUUACUCCUUAAAGAGUGACUAUUGAUGUUAUGGUGUCAAAGCCUUUGUACAAAUGUGUGACUAAGCUGAGGACCUCACAGUCAGGGCAGGUCCAUUCUCCUGCUAGUUGGGCUGGCCCCAAGUGAGCUACUCUGUUGGCCUGAGGACAAAGAAGCACAGUGGCUUUUCCCGAUGUCAUAGGAACAUCGGAGAAGUAAUCUAGAGGACCAGAUUGCUAGUUCUCUGGGGGGAGAAUGUCUCAUUUAUAUUGCAAUUUUUUAAAAAAAACAAAACAACAAAAAGCUUAAGAAUAACACAACAAACAGCUGUGUACAUACUCUGCAGUGUUAACAGAUGUAAUUUUUUUUCAUAAUUGCUUAAGAUCCUCUUUUAUGCAUUGCUGAUAUAUUUUAAAUUUCUUAAUUUCAAGAGCAGUACCAUUCCCCUCUCUCCCUCAUGGCCAACAACUAUCUUAAAUUUGAUGUGGUUCUAGUCCAUUCUCAUAUGCAUUCUUAAAUGAUUCAUACAAAUGGAAUAAUUCCAAUUGCAACCUGCUUCUUUUUUCCCACUCAAUAUGCUUCUGAGUUUCAGGUACAUCUAGGUCAUUCAUUUUAGCUAUUAUGUAUAAUACCCCAUCCUAUUCCAUAUAUAAUAUGGUAUUAGCUAUUAUAUAUUUUUAUAAUUAUACAUAUAUUUAUAUAAUUAGAUAUUUAGCUAUUAUGUUAUAUAUCAUGGUUUCUGUAGCCUCUCCCCUGUCAAUUGCUAUUGCAGCAUUUUUAACAAUGUUUUUACUACUGCAAACAAUGCUCGAAUGAGCUUCCUUUGACAUGUCUCUUGGCUUAAGAGUGUGAGGGCGUCCCAAGAGGAUAUACCUAGAAAUGGGAUUACAGAAUAUAGAUGUGCAUACUGAAAGUCACUAGAUAUUGUCAAAUCACUCAACAAAGUGAAUGCACCAAUCUACUUUCCUAUCCAAAAUGUAUAAGAAUUUGUACAUCAUCAACAACGUUUAGUUUUGCGUGAUUAAACUUUUU
rnacentral:lncRNA from 10 species